rnacentral:sRNA from 1 species
AUACCCCUGUAGUCCUAGCCGUAAACGAUGGAUACUAGGCGUAGCUCGUAUCGACCCGAGCUGUGCCGGAGCUAACGCGUUAAGUAUCCCGCCUGGGGAGUACGCAGGCAACUGUGAAACUCAAAGGAAUUGACGGGGGCCCGCACAAGCGGUGGAGUAUGUGGUUUAAUUCGAUGCAACGCGAAGAACCUUACCAAGGCUUGACAUGUCACGAAUCCUGUAGAAAUAUAGGAGUGCCUUAGGGAGCGUGAACACAGGUGGUGCAUGGCUGUCGUCAGCUCGUGUCGUGAGAUGUUGGGUUAAGUCCCGCAACGAGCGCAACCCUCGUUUUUAGUUGCCAGCAUUAAGAUGGGCACUCUAGAGAGACUGCCGGUGACAAACCGGAGGAAGGUGGGGAUGACGUCAAGUCAGCAUGCCCCUUACGUCUUGGGCUACACACGUACUACAAUGCUACGGACAAAGGGCAGCUACACAGCGAUGUGAUGCGAAUCUCAUAAACCGUAGCUCAGUUCAGAUCGAAGGCUGCAACUCGCCUUCGUGAAGGAGGAAUCGCUAGUAAUUGCAGGUCAGCAUACUGCAGUGAAUUCGUUCCCGGGCCUUGUACACACCGCCCGUCACACCAUGGAAGUUGGUCACGCCCGAAGUCGUUACCCCAACUUAUUGGAGGGGGAUGCCUAAGGUAGGACUGAUGACUGGGGUGAAGUCGUAACAAGGUAGCCGUACCGGAAGGUGUGGCUGGAUCACCUCCUUUUAGGGAGACCUAAUCCAUUUAGAAAUCGAAAGCAGUGAAAAUUGUGGGUAGAAACUUAAUUGGUCUAACCUAGGUCGGUCGCAGACUUGAAGUAAAGCUUUCAAACUAUGAUUUGGUUCGAUAAGGGCUAUUAGCUCAGGUGGUUAGAGUGCACCCCUGAUAAGGGUGAGGUCCCUGGUUCGAGUCCAGGAUGGCCCACCUGAAGGAAUUCAAAAAUCAAAAGUCAAAAGUCAAAAUUAAAUAUUUUUGAAGCAUGACUAGAAAUUUUGAGUUCUUUUUGGGGGUUUAGCUCAGUUGGUAGAGCGCCUGCUUUGCAAGCAGGAUGUCAGCGGUUCGAGUCCGCUAACCUCCACAUUGGAAAAAAGACAGCACCUAAUUGGAAAAGUUAGACUGCUGGAUGAAAUUCCAGCCAGAACCUUGAAAACUGCAUAAGAGAACGAGAAAAAGCAGGCAGACACAGACAUUUAAAUGGAUGUGAAAGCAAAGAAAAAUUGUGGUCAAGCUAAUAAGGGCUAAUGGUGGAUACCUWGGCACACAGAGGCGADG